rnacentral:lncRNA from 1 species
GAAACAAGGCUCUCGAUCCAUCCACCUUCGUCCCUCAAGUGGUAGGAAACUUUCCGACGCCUCCCGCGGCUCUGCCAGGAGAGAAGAGACAAGCUCCCCCUCCCAACCCCUUAGUAAUGACUGAGUCUAGCGAAGCUAGCCAGCCGGGAGGCAAACUCCCCCUGCCGCCCCGAGGCCUCCUCCAGCCGCUGAGACUGGAAAGCGGACUUGCGACGCCACGCCGGCCGUCGUUGGUGACAAGUGUGACAACACCGUCCCGGUCCUACGGGGAAGGCAUUCUCUUCCUCUUCCUCCAGCUGCCUGAAAAUCAUAUGCGUGGUUUUUCCUGUUUCCUGCUCUGUAGCUGACAUCAGGGGAGCAACGUGAACACAGGAAAAUGGAAAUCAACAUUUGAAACUUUUAAAUGGAAGCUUUAUUGGGGUUCCACAUAUGGAAAACUGCAAAUAGCAGAAGUAUGUGACUCAAUAAAUUAUUCUGGAGUGACCACAUCCUCUAACUGCCUCCCAGGACAAGACGGAGAAUGUGAACAAUGCUCCUGAAGGCCCCUUUCCCUCAAAGAAUCACUGCAAUUGAAGGAAAAAUGCUCCAUGUCCCCUCUGCCAGUUGGUGUUUAUCAAAGGACAACGGAGGAAGAGAGACAAAGUGCCUGGAUGUGUGUGUUAAUCAAGAGUUGUCAGGACCCUGCCUCUAAAAGAAAGCGCUAAAAUGAUGCUUUUGACAAGACUUUUCUCAAAGUGGAUGCAGUCUAAGGGUUGGAAAACAAGGCCCAAUCAGGC